UACGUAGGCAGCAAGCGUUGUUCGGAAUUACUGGGCGUAAAGAGUGUGUAGGCGGUGCUCUAAGUCUGUUGUGAAAUCUCCCGGCUUAACUGGGAGGGUGCGGCGGAGACUGGAGUGCUAGAGUGUGGGAGAGGUAAGCGGAAUUCCUGGUGUAGCGGUGAAAUGCGUAGAUAUCAGGAGGAACACCAAUGGCGAAGGCAGCACUCUGGGACGUGACUGACGCUGAGACGCGAAAGCGUGGGGAGCAAACAGG
rnacentral:rRNA from 1 species